rnacentral:misc_RNA from 1 species
CCGAGUUUACAAACUCCCAAACCCAUGUGAACCUUACCUAUCGUUGCUUCGGCGGAUACGCCCCGGCGCUCUCGCGACCGGAACCAGGCGCCCGCCGGGGGAAACAAACUCUUGUCUUAGCGAGUGAAUAUUCUGAGUGGCGAAAGCAAAAAAUACGUUA